rnacentral:rRNA from 1 species
AUUGAACGCUGGCGGCAGGCCUAACACAUGCAAGUCGAACGAGUGGCGGACGGGUGAGUAAUGUCUGGGAAACUGCCUGAUGGAGGGGGAUAACUACUGGAAACGGUAGCUAAUACCGCAUACCAUCAGAUGUGCCCAGAGGGGAGUAGCUUGUUGGUGGGGUAACGGCUCACCAAGGCGACGAGCCCUAGCUGGUCUGAGAGGAUGACCAUCCACACUGGAGCGAGGACACGGUCCAGAAUCCUACGGGCGGAAGCAGUGGGGAAUAUUGCACAAUGGACGCAAUCCUGAUGCAGCCAUGCCGCGUGUAUGAAGAAGGCCUUCGGGUUGUAAAAUACUUUCAGCAGGGAGGCGUUACCCGCAGAAGAAGCACCGGCUAACUCCGUGCCAGCAGCCGCGGUAAUAC